rnacentral:rRNA from 1 species
GAUGAACGCUGGCGGCGUGCCUAAUACAUGCAAGUCGAGCGAACAGACGAGGAGCUUGCUCCUCUGACGUUAGCGGCGGACGGGUGAGUAACACGUGGAUAACCUACCUAUAAGACUGGGAUAACUUCGGGAAACCGGAGCUAAUACCGGAUAAUAUAUUGAACCGCAUGGUUCAAUAGUGAAAGACGGUUUUGCUGUCACUUAUAGAUGGAUCCGCGCCGCAUUAGCUAGUUGGUAAGGUAACGGCUUACCAAGGCAACGAUGCAUAGCCGACCUGAGAGGGGGAUAGGCCACACUGGAACUGAGACACGGUCGAGACUACUACGGGAGGCAGCAGGAGGGAAGCGUCCGCAAUGGGCGAAAGCCUGACGGAGCAACGCCGCGGGAGUGAUGAAGGUCGUCGGAUCGUAAAACUCUGUUAUGAGGGAAGAACAAAUGUGUAAGUAACUACGCACGUCUUGACGGUACCUAAUAAGAAAGCCACGGCUAACGACGUG